rfam:Nicotiana attenuata strain TT chromosome 11, whole genome shotgun sequence.
UGGACAGAUUAUUGUAUUCGACUGUAUUCACGGCGUGAAACAGGGGAUUAGACUGUUUUUAAAUGGAAAGUGAAUCAAUUAACAUAAUAGACUCCU